rnacentral:rRNA from 1 species
UACGUAGGGUGCGAGCGUUGUCCGGAAUUAUUGGGCGUAAAGGGCUCGUAGGCGGUUUGUCGCGUCGGGAGUGAAAACCAGGUGCUUAACACCUGGCUUGCUUUCGAUACGGGCAGACUAGAGGUAUGCAGGGGAGAACGGAAUUCCUGGUGUAGCGGUGAAAUGCGCAGAUAUCAGGAGGAACACCGGUGGCGAAGGCGGUUCUCUGGGCAUGUCCUGACGCUGAGGAGCGAAAGUGUGGGGAGCGAACAGG